AUAUAUAUUAUAAAUCCAGAAAAUAUACCCUAAUCAAGAAGUCUAAUACUGCUCUUUGGCCAAGCAACAGUACUUCCCAUGGCUUCAUUAAGAGUGCGGAAUUCAUUUGUGGGUCUGUAUAGAGUCAAAUUACCCAUAUAGACUUCCUCAACCCAAACCUUCCAACAGUCUCAACCGAGUGGCAAGUGAUGCACCUUUGCACUUGGAUCUGUUGUGGCAAUCUUCCCUUCUGCUACGACUUCUUCCUCCUCAAACAUGUACCAAUGCAACAGUUGACAUCUUGCAUUUAUCUUAGGGGUAGUACUUCCUUGGACACCACUUCCUUGGUGUGACUACAAAUUCAUAAUAAACCGAAAGUAUUCUUUUUAAAAUUAG
rnacentral:lncRNA from 1 species